UCCCCGGUGCAGAUCUUGGUGGUAGUAGCAAAUAUUCAAAUGAGAACUUUGAAGACUGAAGUGGGGAAAGGUUCCAUGUGAACAACACUUGGACAUGGGUUAGUCGAUGCUAAGAGAUGAGGAAGCCCUGUAUCAAGGGUGCACUAUGCACAAGCAUUGAAAGGGAAUCGGGUUAAUAUUCCCAAAAUGGGACAUGGUGGCAGACGACAACGUUAGGAAAUCCGGAGACGUCGUCGGGGGCCCUGGGAAGAGUUAUCUUUUCUUUUUAACAGCUUGCCCACCCUGAAAUUGGCUCAACCGGAGAUAGGGUCUAGCAGCUGGAAGAGGAUCGCACGUCUUGCAGUGUCUAGUGCACCCUCAGUGGCCCUUGAAAAUCUGGAGGACCGAUUACCAUCCAUGCCCGGUCGUACUCAUAACCACAUCAGGUCUCCAAGGUGAACAGCCUCUGGUCAAUAGAACAAUGUAGGUAAGGGAAGUUAGCAAAACGGAUCCGUAACUUUGAGAAAAGGAUUGGAUCUGAGGGCUGGGUGUAGGGGUCUGCAUCCUCAACCCGUGGGCUAUCGGCAGUCUGCACGAGCUGCUAUCGUGGAGAGGGAAGGCAGUGACGUGCCGAUUGGGCUAUGGACGUAGAAUGUCCUCUCGCAGGGGAUUUUCCCUAGGCGACGAACAGUCAACUCAAAACUGGUAUGGAAAAGAGGAAUUCGACUGUUUAAUUAAAACAAAGCAUUGUGAUGGUCCCUGCGGAUGCUGACGCAAUGUGAUUUUUGCCUAGUGCUCUGAAUGUCAAAGUGAAKAAAUUCAACCAAGCGCGAGUAAAUGGCGGGAGUAACUAUGACUCUCUUAAGGUAGCCAAAUGCCUCGUCAUCUAAUUAGUGAUGCGCAUGAAUGGAUUAACAAGAUUCCCACUGUCCCUAUCUAUUAUCUAGUGAAACCACAGCCAAGGGAACGGGCGUGGUAGAAUCAGCGGGGGAAGAAGACCCUGUUGAGCUUGACUCUAGUCCGACUUUGUGAAAUGACUUGAGAGGUGUAGAAUAAGUGGGAGACGUUUCGGCGCAAGUGAAAUACCACUACUUUUAAC
rnacentral:ncRNA from 1 species